ACCUGGAUAGCUCAGUUGGUUGGAGCAUGGUGCUGAUAAUGCCAAGGUUGUAGGUUCAAUCCCCAUAUGGGACA